rnacentral:misc_RNA from 1 species
UAGAGUUUUCUAAACUCCCAAACCCAUGUGAACUUACCAUUGUUGCCUCGGCAGAACCUACCCGGUACCUACCCUGGAACCAGCUACCCUGUAGCUACCCAGGAACGGGCUACCCUGUAACGUCCUGCCGGUGGACUUCUAAACUCUUGUUAUUUAUAGUAAUCUGAGCGUCUUAUUUUAAUAAGUCA